GACGAACGCUGGCGGCGUGCUUAACACAUGCGAGUCGAACGGUGAAGCGCCUUCCUUUUUGGAGGGUGUGGAUGAGUGGCGAACGGGUGAGUAACACGUGAGUAACCUGCCCCCUUCUUCUGGAUAACCGCAUGAAAGUGUGGCUAAUACGGGAUAUUCUGGGUCUGUCGCAUGAUGGGUCUGGGAAAGAUAUUGUUUCGGAGGGGGAUGGGCUCGCGGCAUAUCAGCUUGUUGGUGGGGUGAUGGCCUACCAAGGAGGUGACGGGUAGCCGGGCUGAGAGGGUGGACGGUCACGCUGGGACUGGGGCACGGCCCAUACUCCUACGGGAGGCAGCAGGGGGGAAUAUUGCACGAUGGGCGCAAGCCUGAUGCAGCGACGCCGCGUGAGGGAUGGAGGCCUUCGGGUUGUGAACCUCUUUCGCCAGUGAAGCAGGCCUGCCUCGUUUGUGGGUGGGUUGACGGUAGCUGGAUAAGAAGCGCCGGCUAACUACGUG
rnacentral:rRNA from 1 species